UCUUUUCCUUUUGUGCCCGCAGCCGCGGUAAUACGUAGGUGGCAAGCGUUAUCCGGAAUUACUGGGUGUAAAGGGAGCGCAGGCGGGAUAGCAAGUCAGCUGUGAAAACUAUGGGCUCAACCCAUAAACUGCAGUUGAAACUGUUAUUCUUGAGUGGAGUAGAGGCAAGCGGAAUUCCGAGUGUAGCGGUGAAAUGCGUAGAUAUUCGGAGGAACACCAGUGGCGAAGGCGGCUUGCUGGGCUCUAACUGACGCUGAGGCUCGAAAGUGUGGGGAGCAAACAGG
rnacentral:rRNA from 1 species